rnacentral:rRNA from 1 species
UACGUAGGGUGCAAGCGUUAAUCGGAAUGACUGGGCGUAAAGGGUGUGUAGGCGGUCUGCUAAGUCUGAUGUGAAAGCCCCGGGCUCAACCUGGGAACUGCAUCCAAAACUGGCAAGCUAGAGUACGGUAGAGGGUGGUGGAAUUUCCUGUGUAGCGGUGAAAUGCGCAGAUAUCAGGAGGAACACCGAUGGCGAAGGCAGGUCUCUGGGCCACUACUGACGCUGAGAAGCGAAAGCAUGGGGAGCAAACAGG